rnacentral:rRNA from 1 species
UACAGAGGGUGCGAGCGUUAAUCGGAAUUACUGGGCGUAAAGGGUGCGCAGGCGGCGUCGCAAGUCAGGCGUGAAAUCCCCGGGCUUAACCUGGGAACUGCACUUGAAACUACGAUGCUGGAGUAUGGCAGAGGGAGGUGGAAUUCCACGUGUAGCGGUGAAAUGCGUAGAGAUGUGGAGGAACACCGAUGGCGAAGGCAGCCUCCUGGGCCAAUACUGACGCUCAUGCACGAAAGCGUGGGGAGCAAACAGG